rnacentral:rRNA from 1 species
AUUGAACGCUGGCGGCAGGCUUAACACAUGCAAGUCGAGCGGAGAUGAGGUGCUUGCACCUUAUCUUAGCGGCGGACGGGUGAGUAAUGCUUAGGAAUCUGCCUAUUAGUGGGGGACAACAUUCCGAAAGGAAUGCUAAUACCGCAUACGCCCUACGGGGGAAAGCAGGGGACCUUCGGACCUUGCGCUAAUAGAUGAGCCUAAGUCGGAUUAGCUAGUUGGUGGGGUAAAGGCCUACCAAGGCGACGAUCUGUAGCGGGUCUGAGAGGAUGAUCCGCCACACUGGGACUGAGACACGGCCCAGACUCCUACGGGAGGCAGCAGUGGGGAAUAUUGGACAAUGGGCGGAAGCCUGAUCCAGCCAUGCCGCGUGUGUGAAGAAGGCCUUUUGGUUGUAAAGCACUUUAAGCGAGGAGGAGGCUACCUGGAUUAAUACUCUAGGAUAGCGGACGUUACUCGCAGAAUAAGCACCGGCUAACUCUGUGCCAGCAGCCGCGGUAACAC